rnacentral:lncRNA from 1 species
GCAGACUCUUAUUCGCCUGAGCGGAUCCACGCGUACCAAGACCUAGCUUUAGCGCUUGCCGCGCGUUGUUACCUGGGAACACGUGGCUGUCACUGCUCAGGCUAAGGGGGCUUGGAGUUUGCGCAUGUGCGGUUACCCACUGCUCGGAGACGGUAUGUUUAAAGCUAAGAGCCAUGGGAAUUUUACAGUGUACCGGAAAGAGCAGUCCAUGGAAAGACAAGAGACUUUUUAAAGUUAUGUGCGCCAAGUCACUGGCUGUGUGACUUUGGGCAGGCUCUUUGACUUUAAUGAGCAUCGUUUUUCUCACCCAUAAAACCCAUAUAAUAAUAGCAUGCACUUCCACCCUCUCAGGGAUGUAAAGGGCUCAUAGUUGAAUUGAGGAAUCAUAUCUGUAAAGCAAUACAGAAUGAAAUCACCUAAUAGCAAUAGUUAUAAAGUUCUGAGUCCCUCAUGGAAAUGGCGGAAGCAGAGUGAGUGCCAAAGGCGGUACAAUGAAAUAGGACCAUGAACUAUGGAGGCAUGUUCUGAUCCCAACCAGCAAAGGCUAAGUUUGCUUUGUUGAGCCUCAUUCUCCCUGUCUGCAGAGGUAAUAAUAAUAAUGCUAAAUGUACCCCCAGGAUUGUUGGGAGAAUUAAAUAUGUUUUAACUGAUUAGGUUCACAAUAAAAUGGAGCUAUCAGUUAUAUUUAUUAUUACUAAACUUCUUUUAGGUCUAAAGAGAGAGUUGAACACAGCAAAACAUUCCAGAGAUGUUUGAUUUCUUUUCCACUAUGUGAAGCUGAACUUCAGCAGGUUCUAUAAUUGCAUUCAUUUUUUAAUUUUCAUUACUUCUUAAUUCCUGUAAUACUUUGAACUAUUAUUUCUUUUUUAUUUUGUUUUAUUUUUUAGAUAUACAUGACAGUAGAGGGUAUUUUGACAUAUUAUACAUACAUGAUACCUUCGUUUCUUAUGACAGUGGGCAACCUCUCCAGCUGAAGAGCUCUAGAGAAAUCUCCAGAGAGUCCCUGGAGGGGCCAGUCCAGCCAACCAGUAGGCAUGAAAGAGUAAAAGUGGGCUUGAACUCUCUCUCUUGCUCAGACCAAUCCCUGCCACCUCAUGGAGUUCUAUUUUCACCUUCACCUUCAAUAACUCUGUUUAAAAAAAAAGUAAAAGUAGCUGAGAUCUGCUGUGCAGAAAGUUUUUUCCUACCUCUGCAUUUCAGCCUUGCCCAACUAGGGUCACAUGAAUUUAAAAAAAUUCCAUCUCAAUUUUCACUUGCAUUGGCAGACAAGCUCCUUCCUGAUCUGGCCUACCUUUCCAGUCUCAUCUUAAUUAAAAAGACCAGCCAUCAAUCAGAGCGAACAGGUGGCUGCCCCAGCCACUUCCCCCAAGAAUAUUUUGUAUCAGCAGAGCCAGCAGAAGCCAGCUCUGGAGGUGGAGGACUCUGGAGCAGCAUUGGAUUGAUUAUCUAUCUACUAUCUAUUGACUUGUGAUUUGGAACCCCAUUUUCAAAAUCUCUGAGCCUUGUCUUUCUCUAUAAAAUGAUGAUCAACAAUGACUACUUCGUAUGAGAAAUUAUACCCCAAUUGAUUCAAAUGUAUGAAUUGCCAAGAUCAUUGUAAUGUCAUGUGUAG